rnacentral:rRNA from 1 species
GAGUUUGAUCCUGGCUCAGGAUGAACGCUGGCGGCGUGCCUAACACAUGCAAGUCGAACGAAGCAUACAGGACGGAGACCUUCGGGAGGAAGACCAGUAUGACUGAGUGGCGGACGGGUGAGUAACGCGUGGGCAACCUGCCGUAUACAGGGGGAUAACAGCCGGAAACGGCUGCUAAUACCGCAUAAGCGCGCAGCGUCGCAUGGCGCAGCGCGGAAAGCCCCGGCGGUAUACGAUGGACCCGCGUCUGAUUAGCUAGUUGGUGGGGUAACGGCCCACCAAGGCGACGAUCAGUAGCCGGCCUGAGAGGGCGGCCGGCCACAUUGGGACUGAGACACGGCCCAGACUCCUGCGGGAGGCAGCAGUGGGGAAUAUUGCACAAUGGGCGCAAGCCUGAUGCAGCGACGCCGCGUGAAAGAGGAAGUACUCCGGUAU